rnacentral:lncRNA from 1 species
GUACCGGUACAUCCAUCGGGCUUGUACCGGUACAGAGCCGCAGACCGCGCGACCCGAGCCUCGGGUUUGCAAUUUCGUCGGCCUUGUACCGGUACAAGAGCCCGUGUACCGGUACAAGGAGGCAGAUUUCGUGCAGUUUGGUCUGCAGGGGGUUUUUCGCGAUUGUGGGCUUUUUAUAACAGCACCCACGCCCCUUAGGGCUUUUUUUGUGCUGGAACCAGAGGAGAGGAAGGUGAGUGAAGCUCCACCUUGUCCCAUUUGAUUUUGAUCUCCAUUUUGCUUGGUUUUUGAUGGAUUUUCUUCUCUUUUGCCCUUUGGUGCCAUUUCCACCAUGGAUGAAGCCUCAAGCUUGGAUUUGGAGCUAAGUGGAGGAUAGAUCUUGGGAUUUAAAGGAUUUAGAGCUUGAUUUGAAGCUUCUAAGAGGUAAGCAUUAUAUUAUCUUCCUCUAGAUUUGAAUUUUAUUGGAUUUCUUGAGAUGAAACCCUAGAUUGUGAUAUUAGGGUUUAUUUUGGGUAUUUUGAAUCUAGGGCUUUUGAAGCUAGAUUGAGUGGAUUAGAGGCUUCCAUUAGGUUGGAUUGGAUGAGCCCUAGCUUCAUUUUGGAGCUUUAGAGGAGAUUUUUGCACUAGAGGUGAGUUUUCCUCACCUAUGAUUGAUUAGCUUAAUGUUUGAGCUAGGUAUUGUUCGUUCGGCUCGUAUGACUCAUGUUCUUGUACCUCUAGGGUACUAGGAGACUAGAGGACACCCUCGUUGGAGCGCACGAGGAGUUUCGUUGUCAUCGGUGGGUUUGGCUUCGUGGAAAUGGGGCGAAAUGGCCCCUAUGCUCUUUCUACUUGUUGUAAAUUAUUUUUAAGUUCAUUUCUAUGCUAAAUGGAAUUUAUAUGAAUUUUAGAGCACUUAAAAUGCAUGCCUCGUGUAUUAUGAAAAUUUCACUAUAUAGUAGAGCUAUAUGAGUAGAAUGCAUGCAUACGGGAAAAGUGUUUAUUUUGCAAGUGAAAAAUACAUCUCUUAUGAGAAUUAUGACUUGGAAUAUGUACUUUGGAACAUAGUUACCAUGUUUUGACAUAGAGAACCAGAGUGUCAUAAAGGGGCACUUGAAACUAGUAAACUAUGAAACUGCAACAUAGAGACAUAUUGGUAGGCCACUACAUAUCUGCUAUAUUCCAUGUUAGAGACAUGACGACAUAGAGAUAGGCCAUCGUGAUACUUGACAUAUUCCAUGUUUUAGACAUGAGGACUUGGUACUUGAGACAGAUCAUUGCUUGCUUGCCAUUUGUGCUCAUUCGCACAUGCUUGUGAGGGUCGCUCCCUACAAGCCGGCACUCCGGAGAUAGCCAUCGCGACACAUGCUCGCCGUGCGGGAUUGGGCGCCGAAGUGGAUUGCCGUGGGGGAGGCUCAUCCCUAGAGUGGGGAUGUUGACUACCACGGGGCCAUUAGGCACGGCGCAGGCCAGACAGCCUUCGGGUGGGUCUUAUAUGAUUGGGACUUAGUGACAGAUCAUGCAAUGUGAACUUUAAAACUAUUAAAGUGGACUUGGACUAGAAUAGUAAACGACGACAUUUUUACUAUCUUUGCAUUGAGGACAUUGGAUUGGUUGCAUUUCUACGCUUAUGCAUGUCUUACACAUCCAUGUACAUUCAUGUUAUAGUUGAUUUAUUACUUAUGCAAAUCAUGCUAAGUGGAGACUCUAUGUUAUAGUAAGUUAUAUUUCACUUACCGUUUAAUUAUUACAUUGUUAGUCACUGACCUCUUCUUGUAGCUUUUGGGCCUUGUGGCGCAGUUCACUGAAGUCAGUAAUUGCCCACUGGGAACUAUUUUUAAUAGUUCUCACGCCCCUGUUUUCUGGUUUUCUUUUCAGAGCCUUCGGCACCGGCGGAGGCACGGGAUCGCGGCAAGGGGAUCGCUUAGCUAGCUAGCGAGGAGCGGUUCUUGCUUAGGUGGUUUGCUCUUUCUUUUUGUAGUUGGGAGAGUGAGAGAUUUUGUAUCCAUGUGUAGAGACCACCUAUGUACCUACUUUUAGCACUUGUAUUUGGGAUUUUCUAUUGUAUUUACUUUAUGUUUUAUUUAGUGGAUUUACAGCUUUAUCCUUAUCCCUGGUUGUAGUAUUUAGACAUUUAUCAUGCUCUGAUACUCCUAGAUGCCUCUUAUUAUUGCUUUUAUUACUGUUGUUUUUAGACGCCUUAUAUGUUUUAGACGUAUGGCGGGUCUGGGCACGUGCCGAGCGGGC